rnacentral:rRNA from 1 species
UACAGAGGGGGCAAGCGUUGUUCGGAUUCAUUGGGCGUAAAGGGUGUGUAGGUGGCGCGCUAAGUCGGGUGUGAAAUUUCGGAGCUUAACUCCGAAACUGCAUUUGAUACUGGCGUGCUUGAGGACUGGAGAGGAGACUGGAAUUCAUGGUGUAGCAGUGAAAUGCGUAGAGAUCAUGAGGAAGACCAGUGGCGAAGGCGGGUCUCUGGACAGUUCCUGACACUGAGACACGAAGGCCAGGGGAGCAAACGGG